GACGGACGCUGGCGGCGUGCCUAAUACAUGCAAGUCGAGCGCAGGAAACUGACGGAACUCUUCGGAGGGAAGGCAGCGGAAUGAGCGGCGGACGGGUGAGUAACACGUAAGGAACCUGCCUCAAGGAUUGGGAUAACUCCGAGAAAUCGGAGCUAAUACCGGAUAGUUCAACGGACCGCAUGGUCCGCUGAUGAAAGGCGCUCCGGCGUCACCUUGAGAUGGCCUUGCGGUGCAUUAGCUAGUUGGUGGGGUAACGGCCCACCAAGGCGACGAUGCAUAGCCGACCUGGGAGGGUGGUCGGCCACACUGGGACUGAGACACGGCCCAGACUCCUACGGGAGGCAGCAGUAGGGAAUCUUCCACAAUGGACGAAAGUCUGAUGGAGCAACGCCGCGUGAGUGAUGAAGGUUUUCGGAUCGUAAAACUCUGUUGUAAGGGAAGAACACGUACGAGAGGAAAUGCUCGUACCUUGACGGUACCUUACGAGAAAGCCACGGCUAACUACGUGCCAGCCGCCGCCGUAA
rnacentral:rRNA from 1 species